UACGAAGGGGGCUAGCGUUGCUCGGAAUUACUGGGCGUAAAGGGCGCGUAGGCGGCCACCGCAAGUCGACUGUGAAAUCUCCGGGCUUAACCCGGAAAGGUCAGCCGAUACUGCGGGGCUAGAGUGCAGAAGGGGCAACUGGAAUUCUCGGUGUAGCGGUGAAAUGCGUAGAUAAUCGAGAGGAACACCGGUGGCGAAGGCGGGUCUCUGGGCCGAAAUUGACGCUGAGGAGCGAAGACGUGGGGAGCAAACAGG
rnacentral:rRNA from 1 species